rnacentral:rRNA from 1 species
GAUGAACGCUGGCGGCGUGCCUAAUACAUGCAAGUCGAGCGAACAGAUAAGGAGCUUGCUCCUUUGACGUUAGCGGCGGACGGGUGAGUAACACGUGGGUAACCUACCUAUAAGACUGGGAUAACUUCGGGAAACCGGAGCUAAUACCGGAUAACAUUUGGAACCGCAUGGUUCUAAAGUGAAAGAUGGUUUUGCUAUCCCUUAUAUAUGGACCCGCGCCGUAUUAGCUAGUUGGUAAGGUAACGGCUUACCAAGGCGACGAUACGUAGCCGACCUGAGAGGGUGAUCGGCCACACUGGAACUGAGACACGGUCCAGACUCCUACGGGAGGCAGCAGUAGGGAAUCUUCCGCAAUGGGCGAAAGCCUGACGGAACAACGCCGCGUGAGUGAUGAAGGGUUUCGGCUCGUAAAACUCUGUUAUUAGGGAAGAACAAACGUGUAAGUAACUGUGCACGUCUUGACGGUACCUAAUCAGAAAGCCACGGCUAACUACGUGCCAGCCGCCGCGGUAAUAC